rnacentral:sRNA from 1 species
AUAUAUAACGCAGAUGAAAUAAAAUAAUCAUCUGCUUGAAGAAUGAUUAUUUUAUUUAAGAUGCUAACAACCAUGAGGAAGGAGGACGAUAGUCCGGAUUCCGAAUGGUUGUAGAAUUACGAGAAAAACGAAGUUUUGGAGUAAUUCGUUAUAUAU